rnacentral:rRNA from 1 species
GGGCAACCUGCCUCAUACAGGGGGAUAACAGUCAGAAAUGACUGCUAAUACCGCAUAAGACCACGGCACCGCAUGGUACAGGGGUAAAAACUCCGGUGGUACGAGAUGGACCCGCGUCUGAUUAGCCAGUUGGUGAGGUAACGGCUUACCAAGCCGACGAUCAGUAGCCGACUUGAGAGAGUGACCGGCCACAUUGGGACUGAGACACGGCCCAGACUCCUACGGGAGGCAGCAGUGGGGAAUAUUGCACAAUGGAGGAAACUCUGAUGCAGCGACGCCGCGUGAAGGAAGAAGUAUUUCGGUAUGUAAAGUUCUAUCAGCAGGGAAGAAAAUGACGGUACCUGACUAAGAAGCCCCGGCUAACUACGUGCCAGCAGCCGCGGUAAUACGUAGGGGGCAAGCGUUAUCCGGAUUUACUGGGUGUAAAGGGAGCGU